rnacentral:rRNA from 1 species
CGUCCGCUCGGGCAUCGAGAUCGACCCAAAGGCGCGCGAGCGCCCACGACCGCGACCCCAGGUCAGGCGAUC